rnacentral:misc_RNA from 1 species
CCUCCGUUGGUGAACCAGCGGAGGGAUCAUUACCGAGUUUACAACUCCCAAACCCUUAUGUGAACCGUACCUAUCGUUGCUUCGGCGGGAACGCCCCGGCGCCCUGCGCCCGGAUCCAGGCGCCCGCCGGAGACCCCAAACUCUUGUGUUUUUUUCAGUAUUCUCUGAGUGGCAAACGCAAAAAUAAAUCAAAACUUUUAACAACGGAUCUCUUGGCUCUGGCAUCGAUGAAGAACACAGC